GGUUAAGCGACUAAGCGUACACGGUGGAUGCCCUGGCAGUCAGAGGCGAUGAAGGACGUGCUAAUCUGCGAUAAGCGCCGGUAAGGUGAUAUGAACCGUUAUAACCGGCGAUUUCCGAAUGGGGAAACCCAGUGUGACUCGUCACACUAUCAUUAACUGAAUCCAUAGGUUAAUGAGGCGAACCGGGGGAACUGAAACAUCUAAGUACCCCGAGGAAAAGAAAUCAACCGAGAUUCCCCCAGUAGCGGCGAGCGAACGGGGAGGAGCCCAGAGCCUGAAUCAGCAUGUGUGUUAGUGGAAGCGUCUGGAAAGGCGCGCGAUACAGGGUGACAGCCCCGUACACAAAAGCGCAUGUGCUGUGAGCUCGAUGAGUAGGGCGGGACACGUGGUAUCCUGUCUGAAUAUGGGGGGACCAUCCUCCAAGGCUAAAUACUCCUGACUGACCGAUAGUGAACCAGUACCGUGAGGGAAAGGCGAAAAGAACCCCGGCGAGGGGAGUGAAAAAGAACCUGAAACCGUGUACGUACAAGCAGUGGGAGCACCCUUUGGGGUGUGACUGCGUACCUUUUGUAUAAUGGGUCAGCGACUUAUAUUCUGUAGCAAGGUUAACCGAAUAGGGGAGCCGGAGGGAAACCGAGUCUUAACCGGGCGUUAAGUUGCAGGGUAUAGACCCGAAACCCGGUGAUCUAGCCAUGGGCAGGUUGAAGGUUGGGUAACACUAACUGGAGGACCGAACCGACUAAUGUUGAAAAAUUAGCGGAUGACCUGUGGCUGGGGGUGAAAGGCCAAUCAAACCGGGAGAUAGCUGGUUCUCCCCGAAAGCUAUUUAGGUAGCGCCUCGUGAAUUCAUCUCCGGGGGUAGAGCACUGUUUCGGCUAGGGGGCCAUCCCGGCUUACCAACCCGAUGCAAACUGCGAAUACCGGAGAAUGUUAUCACGGGAGACACACGGCGGGUGCUAACGUCCGUCGUGAAGAGGGAAACAACCCAGACCGCCAGCUAAGGUCCCAAAGUCAUGGUUAAGUGGGAAACGAUGUGGGAAGGCCCAGACAGCCAGGAUGUUGGCUUAGAAGCAGCCAUCAUUUAAAGAAAGCGUAAUAGCUCACUGGUCGAGUCGGCCUGCGCGGAAGAUGUAACGGGGCUAAACCAU
rnacentral:rRNA from 1 species